UCCUGCGUAGUUCAAUGGCUAGAACGCUUGAUUUACACCCAAGUGAUCGAAGUUCGAUUCUUCGCGUCGGAA